UUCACAAUGUUGAAGAGAAGAGUACGUUGUUGGGCUGCACAAAGCGACCGCUGAUAGUGAAAGAGCGGGCAGACAAUGACCGAAAGUGCGCUCGGAGUUGUGGCAUUUAAUUAAAGAUGCAUUCGAAAUGAGGCGUUUUGUUUUUGACAAAACGCAAAAAAGGGUGGAACCACGGUAAUUCGUCCCUGAU
rnacentral:misc_RNA from 1 species